rnacentral:misc_RNA from 1 species
GAUGAAGAACGUAGCGAAAUGCGAUAAGUAAUGUGAAUUGCAGAAUUCAGUGAAUCAUCGAAUCUUUGAACGCACAUUGCGCCCGCCAGUAUUCUGGCGGGCAUGCCUGUUCGAGCGUCAUUUCAACCCUCAAGACCCCUUCGGGGGACUUGGUGUUGGGGACCGGCACAGGGGCCUGCCUGCUUGUCUUGCAGCGCCCUCGCCGCCCCCGAAAUGAAUUGGCGGCCUCGUCGCGGCCUCCCCUGCGUAGUAGCACAACCUCGCAACGGGAACGUGACGGCGGCCACUGCCGUAAAACAACCCCAAUUUUAUUAGAGUUGACCUCGAAUCAGGUAGGAAUACCCGCUGAACUUAAGCAUAUCAAUAAGCGGAAGA